UCCGGUGUGCUGUAGUUGGCUAGCAUGUUGUUAGGCUAGGGACUUAUUCGUAGGCCGGGCCCGAAUUGAGUUCCGCCUCGCAAGACCCAAGUUCGAUCCUUGGCGCCGGAC